UUCUCUUAGCCUGUCUAUCAGCUUUUUAAAGGUGUAGUUCUUUCUCCACUCCUAAUAAAUAUUCUCCUCAGGAAUGUGACUGUAUUGUUUGCAGCUCUAUUUCUGGUCCAUCUCUCUUUCUGAGGCACAUGGGCACCUGUGAGCACUGCACAUCCAGGCCCAGACAUCUAUCAAAAUCUUUUCAGAGACUGUCACUGCCUCCAAGGUCUGUUCACUGUUCUGGGGAAUUAGCUUAUACUCACAGCUAGAACUAAUCCUGCCAAAUUCUUCAAGGAAUUCAGAGCUCCACAAGUUUAGCCCUCUAAUCUCUGCACACCAACAUGCUAUGUGCAACCAAAUUGUGUGCACAAUUUUACAGUAUAUUCCAUCUGAUUGCUUCUUCUUGAGUUGCUUUGCUGUCCUCCGCUUUUAUAAGGAUGCUUUGAUCUGUGGUUUUAGUUCAUUUUUUCUCAUUAUAAUAGCAUUAUACUAGAGGCAGUUUUGAUGGAACCUUCAAAUUCUUAACACUAGUUGGUAAGAUUAUUUUAUUUUCUUGGCUUUAUUUUUGUGUCAAAUAAGAACAAACUAUUUUGUAGUCCCACCUGUUUUCUUUGUCUCCUCUCUUUCCUAGUAAAGUCAAGUUAACUCCC
ensembl:lncRNA